rnacentral:rRNA from 1 species
GUGGGGAAUAUUGGACAAUGGGCGAAAGCCUGAUCCAGCAAUGCCGCGUGAGUGAUGAAGGCCUUAGGGUUGUAAAGCUCUUUUACCAGGGAUGAUAAUGACAGUACCUGGAGAAUAAGCUCCGGCUAACUCCGUGCCAGCAGCCGCGGUAAUACGGAGGGAGCUAGCGUUGUUCGGAAUUACUGGGCGUAAAGCGCACGUAGGCGGUUACUCAAGUCAGAGGUGAAAGCCCGGGGCUCAACCCCGGAACUGCCUUUGAAACUAGGUAACUAGAAUCUUGGAGAGGUCAGUGGAAUUCCGAGUGUAGAGGUGAAAUUCGUAGAUAUUCGGAAGAACACCAGUGGCGAAGGCGACAUACUGGUCCAUUACUGACGCUGAGGCUCGAAAGCGUGGGGAGCAAACAGGAUUAGAAACCCCAGUAGUCC